ACCCCUGCUCCAUCGCGUCCCGCGUCUCCUUCCGCAACCCAGCACCUCCCGGCGACGCCGUCUCUCUCGUUAGUGCCAACGAGCGGCACUCCUCCGUGUGCCCAGCGCCUCCACUGUCCCGCGAGGUCGUUUGAACAAGAAAAAGAAUAUUUGAAUCCCGCGAAACCCCCUUCCUCGCCACGAACCCGCGUCCGUCGGCUUCCUCUUGCCAGCACCACCUCGCGACGGCUUCCUCUUCCCAGCACCACCUCGAGACGCUCGUACGUCUGCCCAGCGCCGUCGCUCCCCGCGAGCUGAUCGAACGGACCAAAAACCAACGACGGGACCGAGUGCUCUGUUUCGCCAAUGGUUUGAUAGACUGGAUAGAAAUUAUCCAAAGACAUUCUUAGCCUUAUUGUGAUGGGGGAAAACGAAGAUGGAAUGCAUCCUUUUUAUAUAAAUAUGCCCUACAAUUCCCCGAGUACUCUGGUAGACUAUAGCCCAUUUUCUGAUUCAUUUGAGCAGAUGCCACCUUAUAUGUCCUACCCUCCGCCGAGUAAUCCAAAUGACUUGAGGCAAGAAGUGCCCCCGACAUCAACUUUGCCAACCUUCCAAGAAUUUGAACAAAAUCUUAGAAGUACAUCACGGAUGACUGCUGAAAGUUGUCUUGAUGCCGACGAAAUGGUCUUCGACAUAAAUGAAGAUUUAGAAGGUACCACUGUUGUCGAGGAUGAUGAGGUACGAGUUGAAGCACCAAGAUCUGGGAUGGAAUUUGAUAGUAUGAAAGAUCUGACAGCCUACUAUAAGCAGUAUGCGAAGCAAGAGGGUUUUGGUGUACGGAUACAAAGGACUAGGAAAGAUGAUGAAGGGCGGCCUGUGUAUGUGACUGUUGGUUGUGCCCGUGGAGGAAAGUACAAUCCUACGAACAAUAAUAUCUCGAAGCCACGACCAACAACUAGAACGGAUUGUAAAGUGAGAGUAAAUGCGACAUUGAGCAAGAAUGAUAAAUGGGUACUCACCACUGUGGAAAAUGUGCACAACCACAUAACUGUGAGCCCCAAGAAGACAAGAUUCUUGCGAUCUCACAAACAUCUCGAUGAAUACAGUCAAAGGAUCCUUGACCUGAAUGAUCGAGCCGAUAUACGAAUGAACAAGAAUUUUUAUUCUCUUGUCGUUGAUGCGGGGGGUUUUGAGAAUCUUCAGUUUCAAGAGAAAGAUUGUCGGAAUUUCAUUGAUAAGGCUCGACAUUUAAGGUUGGGUAAAGGUGGUGGCGAAGCACUUAAUCAGUAUUUCCGAAGAAUGAGAGAUCGAAAUGAUGGGUUUGUUUCUAGCAUGGACUUGGAUGAUGAGGGAAGGUUACGGAAUGUAUUUUGGGCUGAUGCUCGGAGUCGAGCGGCGUAUGAGUAUUUUGGAGACGUAGUUACAUUUGAUACAACGUACCUAACAAAUAGGUACGGGAUGCCUUUUGCUCCAUUCGUUGGUGUUAAUCAUCAUGGUCAGUCCAUAUUAUUAGGAGCGGGAUUGCUUUCAAACGAGGACACUGAAACUUUUAUGUGGUUGUUCCGAAUGUGGUUGGAUUGUAUGAAUGGUCGGGCGCCCAAAGCCAUGAUAACUGACCAAGAUCGGGCAAUGAAGAGUGCUAUUGCCAUUGUAUUCCCUGAAACUUGUCACAGAUAUUGUUUAUGGCAUAUAAUGCGCAAACUUCCAGAGAAGUUAGGAUCUCAUGCGCAAUUCAAUGCGGGGUUGAAGACUGACCUUCAGACUGCAUUAUAUGACUCACAUACCAGCGGUGAAUUUGAAGAGAGCUGGGGUCAAGUAAUUUCAAAGUAUGAUCUACACGGCAAUAAAUGGCUUCAAUCCUUAUAUGAGGAAAGAUCUUUUUGGGUUCCAGCUUACUUGAAAAGUGUAUUCUGGGCUGGAAUGAGCACAACACAAAGGUCGGAAAGCAUGAAUGCAUUUUUUGAUGGGUAUGUCCAUUCCGGUACCAUAUUGAAGGAAUUUGUCGACCAAUUUGAUAAUGCUCUUAGAAAGAAGGUAGAGGUAGAGACAAUGGCUGAUUUCAAUUCUAGCAACCAAACUAGUCCCUGCGUGUCCCAUCUUAAUAUUGAGAAGCAAUUUCAAAGGUUAUAUACAAAUACAAAGUUCAAAGAGGUCCAAAGAGAGGUGCUGGGCCUAAUGUGUUGUAAUUGUGAGUUGGUAAGCACAUAAGGGUGCAUUUCUCAGUACCAAGUGUUGGAUGAAAUAUCUACUGAUGACCACAUCAAAACACUCAAUUACUGUGUUUACUACAACGAAGAGGAGGUGGAGGUCAAAUGCACGUGUGCAUUGUUUCAGAUGAGGGGGAUUCUGUGUAGGCAUGUACUUAGAGUUUGCCAGUUGAAAAAGAUUAAUGUGCUGCCAGAUGUAUAUGUGUUGGAUCGUUGGAGAAAGGACUUGAAGAGGACAUACACAUUAGUCAGAAGUAGUUACGAUGACCAGCGGGAUAGAGCAGAUGCACGGAAUUAUGAGCGGGUGCUUAAAAGAUGUUCGAAAUUAGCAACCAAAAUUUCCUCAGAUAAUGAAAAAAUCAGUGCUUUCUUGCGUGUUAUUGAUGAGUUUGAGACAAAAUGUGAAGGUUCCUCUUUACAUGAGUCAGCAUAUGAACAAAUUAAGGCCAAAACAAAUGUCGUCUUGGAUAAGGGUAAGAAGAUAUUAAGCCCCAAUGUGGAUCGAGGGAAAGGGAGACCCCCAAGUAAGAGGAAGGUUCCACCAGUUGAAAAGUUGCCAACAAAGAGAAAGAAACCGACUUGCAAGAAAAUCUUGGUAGAUGAAACACAAUUGGGUGAGACACCGGGAACACAAACCAGCAUUCUUACACAAUCAACUCCAGGGGGAAAUGAGAUGUGUCACCAUCUCGAUGCACACUUGUAAUCCCAUGGUGAUGAGAAGCAACAUUUUUUGAAGCUCUUGGAGAUGAUCUGCCACCGUGAUUGAGUUGCUGUUUUUGUGUCUUUUUUGUGUGGUUGAGUGUAUUUUGUUC